UCCCCGGGAAGGUUAGCAGCAGUGAUGCAGUUCUCCAUUUUCACGGUGACCUUUGUUACUUUCGUUGCUGAUCUGAGCGAUGCAGUUUCUGUGACUCAGGGGGAGCCCUCUCUCACGCAAACAGAGAGGGAAGAUGUCACUUUCACCUGCACGUACACCGAUGAUGUUGAUUACUUGUUCUGGUACCGCCAAUACCCCGGCAGAAAGCCCGAGUUCGCAGUCCGUAGGUACAAAAGCGGCGGUGGGGAAUUGAAGGCAUAUUUUGCUCAGAAGCGGUUUUCCGACUCCGUCCAGCAGUCAGACAACUCAUAUCGAUUGACCAUCUCGGAGCUGCAGCUGUCUGACACCGCGAAUUAUCACUGUGCAGCGAGACACAGCGAUGGGAAUGAACGAAAGCCUCGUACAAUAACUGCUGCAGAUUUCUGGGUCACAGCUGCUGCCUGUUUAAGACAGCUUAUAAAUGGGUUUCACACACUGACGAUUCUACACAUUUAUGUGCUGGAAAGUGUCGAAAAUAAUCCACGUAAACAUGAUUUAAAAUCGUUCAAAUGA